rnacentral:misc_RNA from 1 species
UUUCCGUAGGUGAACCUGCGGAAGGAUCAUUACCACGAAUGGAGCUGCCGCGGACGCUGAGCGCAAGCGAGGUGGUCGUGGCAGUUUCCCAAAACCCAUUCCGUUUGGCGCGGGCUUUAAACCCCGCGCCCGACAGUGCACUCAUUCGUACCACAGGCGCUCGCCAGCCGUUUUUGCGAUAGCCGCGCUUCACCGCGUCGGCUUGGCUGGUUGCAGUCGUCUUAACCCAAACCAAUCGCAAAACACAAACAAACCCAAUUCAAACCACACGCCUCGGCAUGUAAACGAUGUUGCACCGCGGCUUACGCCACGGUACACUCACAAAAAACGCUUACAACUUUCAGCAACGGAUAUCUUGGCUCUU